rnacentral:lncRNA from 1 species
AUGUGGCCCCUAUUUAGUUUUCUGAUUUUUUUUUUCCUAGAUUUGGCUGGGACAAAAGCGAAAGUGCUGACAUAUCCUGUGAGUCUCUUCUUGCAAGACUUACCAGAGGUCUCAGGGAAGCCUGAUUCUUUUCCUCAUCCCAGCCAAGUUCUGUGGUCAGAGGAACCGUGGAUUGCUUCACUAGCAUGUAAAGUACUCCAAGAGAGUUUGUUGAGCCAUCACAAAAGCAAGUCUUAGUUCUGAUCCGUAAUUCACUGAACCCUGCUACGAUGUAAGAGGAGGGAGAAACAAGGAAGCUGUCAAGACGAAUGGUGCAAGAGUCUCUGGUUCCAUGGCUACAGCAAGAUCUUGGUGCUUUUAACUCUUUGGUCAUAACAGUACUCAAGUGAAUGUAAGGGCAUCCUUCAGAUCUGAAGGGAAAGGAGUCCCUUGUGUCUCAUAACAAAUAAAUUUGACUUCAAAGGCA